rnacentral:lncRNA from 1 species
AAAGAACUCUCUGGUGGUGACAUCAUGGCUGCUCCUUCGUCAGAUAAACUUUUCUCAUGCCACUGUGCUUCAGCUCUGUAAUGUCAUACAUUUUUAUCCAUAUAUAUGUCAAUAUAUGUAGUAACUCUGGAUAUUUUUCAAGACUCGGUUGUUAAGAUGAGGGUCUCAGCUCUAUGGAUUCUACUUUUGUGUACCCUUGCAGACUUUUGUUUGAGCUGUUUUACAUGUUUUGUAGAACCAUAUGAUAUUUCUUUAAUAUGUGAUGCCUAUUUUACACAGAAUCAUCGAGACUGUGUUUUAAUAGCUGAAAGAAGCAUCGAUAACAAUCAGAAAGUAUUGGAAGCUGCCAGAGUUGGGCCAGGCUAUGAAAAUCAGCUGAAAGACCUCAUGAAUGCAGAGAUCUCACCCUACCUGCAAAAGUUUGAUGGGAACUUGAAAGACACACCUGGAUGCUUUCCCCCAUGUGUGACUCCUCAGGUGGUGGUAGGUCAUGCUGAACUGCAGGAUAUAUUUAACAUCGCUCUCCUUCCGGGGGGUCAAAUCCCACCCCACCUAGUUGCUGCACAUGAACUCACCCUGAUAGAUGUUCCCUCCCCUGCUCUCCUGACUGCGUGUCUGACUGCAAUGCUGUUGAUGCUCUUCCUUUCCAUGGGGUUUUUGUACUGGUGGUGGACUCAGAGAACAGAGUCCAGUCCUGAUGAAUAUCAAGCUCUGAGCCGCCCAGUGACGAGAACAGUUUUGCUUCAGUGAAGGCCUUCAGAUUCUCCAGAUUCUUCUUUGAGCGGUUCUGGAAUUUGACAAUUUCUCACAUUCAUAUAAACCCAUUUCCUGGAAUUACACUCACUUUUCUCAAAAUUACAAUCACAAAAUCAAGAACUCAUACUUCACCAAACAACAAAACAAAAAUGACUGAAAAGCACAUUAACUUUGUUCAAAAUUUGCUUUCCCUUCAGAUCACAUUAACAGUAAACAAAUUUUAUGCCUUAUUACUUGAACAGCAAAGCUACUUGUGAUGCAUUAACUUUUGUCUCUCGACAUAAAAUAUUAGAACCUUUAUUCUGCAUUGCAAAUCUGGAAGACAUAGAGGUAUUCAUGUAUCAACAUCCUGUACUUCCAGGAAUUUAACACUGGCCCAAAUCCAGACUGUUACAUUGUGUAUUAGAUGACACAAAAAAUCUGCUCUGCUAUUGUGAAAUGAAAUAUUUCUAAGUCAUCUGCAAUCUUUUUCUCCCCUGGAAAUUUAAAUAUACUUUUUUCUGAGUUCUGCGUGCAAGUUUUAUCUAAAUGUACUACCUAAAAGUAAGAGAAAGGGAGACAGGGAUUUUGGGAUGCAAUGAAAGGAUGAAUCUGUGAUAAAAGACCCUCAAUUCCAGAUUGAAACCUGAUGGAAGGAUAUAGGAUGGAGUAGCUGAAUGAAGCCACUAGCAGCGGUGACACGUUAAAGUGAUCCAUGAAGAUAUGAAUAGGGAAAGGUGGGCGAUAUAGAACACUCACUGAAAGGAUACAGAAAAGUGGAGAAAUUCAAGCAUGAAGGAGGAAAGGGAAGAGAUGGGAUUCCAAUUCAUGGAGCAAACCUGUAGCUUGUACCCGUGUUAAAGGGCUGGUGGAAAAAGAAUAGUUUGAGAAGUGAUACACUGUAGUGGCUGAAAGCAAGAUGUAAGCAGACAUGAAAUCUGCCCUCUGCAAGGCACUCUGUUAUUUUCAGAUACCAUGAUGAAACUCAAGAGGGUGGGAUGAGCUCUAGGAGGUCAAACUAAGUUGCUAAUGUCUGUGAUGACAUCGAUUGCCUAUACUGGUAUCCUAGGUCAGAAGGAAUAAAGCACAUUUUCUUAACA